rnacentral:rRNA from 1 species
UACGUAGGGGGCAAGCGUUGUCCGGAAUCAUUGGGCGUAAAGAGCGUGUAGGCGGCCCGAUAAGUCCGCUGUGAAAGUCCAGGGCUCAACCCUGGAAUGCCGGUGGAUACUGUCGGGCUCGAAUCCGGAAGAGGUGAGUGGAAUUCCUGGUGUAGCGGUGAAAUGCGUAGAUAUCAGGAGGAACACCAAUGGCGAAGGCAGCACUCUGGGACGUGACUGACGCUGAGACGCGAAAGCGUGGGGAGCAAACAGG